rnacentral:tRNA from 1 species
UUUUUUAUAGCUUAACUAAAAAAGCAUCAAAUUUUUAAUUUGAUAAUGAUAUGUUUAUCUUUGCGAU